GCUUAACGCUGGCGGCGUGCAUAACACAUGCAAGUCGAACGAAGUGGCGGACGGGUGAGUAACGCGUGAGUAACCUGCCUUAGAGAAGGGGAUAGCCUUUGGAAACGAAGAAUCAUACCCUAUACUCUAAGAUGGACUUGAGUCUUAUUAGUUCGUUGGGGAGGUAACGGACCACCAAGACAGCGAUCAGUAGCCGGCGUGAGAGAGGGCACGGCCACAUGGGGACUGAGACACGGCCCAGACUCUACGGGAGGCAGCAGUGGGGAAUGUUGCACAAUGGGGGAAAACCUGAUGCAGCGACGCCGCGUGAUUUAGAAGGCCUUCGGGUUGUAAAAAUCUUUUCUAUGGGAAUCAGUACCAUAGGAAUAAGGACCGGCUAAUGACGUGCCAGCAGCCGCGGUAAUAC
rnacentral:rRNA from 1 species